AUUGAAUGGCUCGGUGAGGCCUUCGGACUGGCCCAGGGAGGUCGGCAACGACCACCCAGGGCCGGAAAGUUGGUCAAACCCGGUCAUUUAGAGGAAGUAAAAGUCGUAACAAGGUCUCCGUAGGUGAACCUGCGGAGGGAUCAUUA
rnacentral:rRNA from 2 species